UCGGGAAUUUUGGGCAAUGGGCGAAAGCCUGACCCAGCAACGCCGCGUGAAGGAUGAAAUCCCUCGGGAUGUAAACUUCGCAAGAACGGGAAGAAUAAGUAAGGGUUAAUAUCUCUUACGAUGACGGUACCGUUUGUAAGCUCCGGCUAACUCCGUGCCAGCAGCCGCGGUAAUACGGGGGGAGCAAGCGUUGUUCGGAUUUACUGGGCGUAAAGGGCGCGUAGGCGGCCAGCACAAGUCAGUUGUGAAAUCUCCGAGCUUAACUCGGAAAGGUCAACUGAUACUGUGCGGCUGGAGUGCAGAAGGGGCAACUGGAAUUCUCGGUGUAGCGGUGAAAUGCGUAGAUAUCGAGAGGAACACCUGCGGCGAAGGCGGGUUGCUGGGCUGACACUGACGCUGAGGCGCGAAAGCUAGGGGAGCGAACGGGAUUAGAUACCCCGGUAGUCCUAGCCUUAAACGAUGAAUGCUUGGUGUCUGGGGUUAUAUAGUCCCCGGGUGCCGUCGCUAACGCUUUAAGCAUUCCGCCUGGGGAGUACGGUCGCAAGACUGA
rnacentral:rRNA from 1 species